GCCGGGAUGGUGGAACUGGCAGACACGUACGUUUGAGGGGCGUAUGGCUUUUGCCGUGGGGGUUCGAGUCCCCCUCCCGGCACCA
rnacentral:tRNA from 1 species